UACAGAGGGGGCAAGCGUUGUUCGGAUUUACUGGGCGUAAAGGGCGCGUAGGCGGCGUGACAAGUCACUUGUGAAAUCUCCGGGCUUAACCCGGAGCGGCCAAGUGAUACUGUCGUGCUAGAGUGCGGAAGGGGCUACUGGAAUUCUCGGUGUAGCGGUGAAAUGCGUAGAUAUCGAGAGGAACACCUGCGGCGAAGGCGGGUAGCUGGGCCGACACUGACGCUGAGGCGCGAAAGCCAGGGGAGCGAACGGG
rnacentral:rRNA from 1 species